CCCAGACUCCUACGGGAGGCAGCAGUGGGGGAUAUUGCACAAUGGGGGGAACCCUGAUGCAGCGACGCCGCGUGGGUGAAGGAGCGUUUCGGCGCGUAAAGCCCUCUCGGCAGGGAAGAAGGAGGACGGUACCUGACUAAGAGGCCCCGGCUAACUACGUGCCAGCAGCCGCGGUAAUACGUAGGGGGCAAGCGUUAUCCGGGUUUACUGGGUGUAAAGGGGGCGCAGACGGCAGCGCAAGCCAGGAGUGAAAGCCCGGGGCCCAACCCCGGGACUGCUCUUGGAACUGGGCGGCUGGGGUGCAGGAGGGGCAGGCGGAAUUCCUGGUGUAGCGGUGAAAUGCGUAGAUAUCAGGAGGAACACCGGUGGCGAAGGCGGCCUGCUGGACUGCGACUGACGUUGAGGCCCGAAAGCGUGGGGAGCAAACAGGAUUAGAUACCCUUGUAA
rnacentral:rRNA from 1 species